GCACAUCAGCUAAGCACAGAGAGAUAACGUAGCGCGCGAGCUCUGCACCUACAGGCUAAUUACCCAUGAUUCAUCAGUCACUGAGCUCCCACGCUGGCUAAUUGAUUCCUGAAUUAAUAUUUGGCUUCAGAUGAUAAUGUCGUUGUGGCAUCUGACAUGCUACCCAUGGCGAUUGAACACUGCCUGUUUUUAAAUAUGCUAAUGGCCCAAGGUGAUUAUCAUAAACCCCAACAUAUCAACACAGAGGCACACUACAACUCUCACUCUCCGUAUAUGUAUAUCAACACAGAGGCACACCACAACUCUCACUCUCCGUAUAUGUAUAUCAACACAGAGGCACACUACAACUCUCUCUCUCCAGUGGCUGUAUGUGGUAUAUGUGUAUCAACACAGAGGCACACUACAACUCUCUCACUCUCCGUAUAUGUGUAUCAACACAGAGGCACACUACAACUCUCUCUCUCCGUAUAUAUGUAUAUCAACACAGAGGCACACUACAACUGUCUCUCUCUCCGUAUAUGUAUAUCAACACAGAGGCACACUACAACUCUCUCUCUCCGUAUAUGUAUAUCAACACAGAGGCACACUACAACUCUCUCUCUCCAGUGGCUGUAUGUGGUAUAUGUGUAUCAACACAGAGGCACACUACAACUCUCACUCUCCGUAUAUGUGUAUCAACACAGAGGCACACUACAACUCUCACUCUCUCCGUAUAUGUAUAUGCAACACAGAGGCACACUACAACUCUCUCUCUCCAGUGGCUGUAUGUGGUAUAUGUCUGCAGGCUUAAAGGACUGCGCCUUUGUGUAUUAGGAUCACAACAUUAACAAAAUUAACAACAUUAACAACUUGCUUCUCCCAAAAAAUACUCUCAAUGAUGAAUGUCAAUGUGGGAAUGUUGAAAACCUCUCAAUGAUGAAUGUAAAUGUGGG
ensembl:lncRNA